AAUUGCUAGUAAUCAUAGGUCAGCAUACUAUGGUGAAUACGUUCCCGGGCCGUUGUACACACUGCCCGUCACACCAUGAGAGUUGAGAAUACCCGAAGCCCAUGUCAAAGUGGUCGAAGGUAGGCUUGAUGAUUGGGGUGAAGUCGUAACAAGGUAAC
rnacentral:rRNA from 1 species